rnacentral:misc_RNA from 1 species
AAGUCGUAACAAGGUUUCCGUAGGUGAACCUGCGGAAGGAUCAUUACAAAUCAUAUAAGUGGGAGUCGAUUGGGGUUGCGGCCUUUAGGCUUGCGUCUCGAUUGACUCUAUUACUUUUGCGCUUGUUGUGUUUGACAGAGUAACAGUACCAAUUCAAAGAGACAACUUUUAACAAUGGAUCUCUUGGCUCUU